UACGUAGGGUGCGAGCGUUAAUCGGAAUUACUGGGCGUAAAGCGUGCGCAGGCGGUUUUGUAAGCCAGAUGUGAAAUCCCCGGGCUUAACCUGGGAAUGGCAUUUGGGACUGCAAGGCUUGAGUGCGGCAGAGGAGACUGGAAUUCCUGGUGUAGCAGUGAAAUGCGUAGAUAUCGUCAGGAACGCCAAUGGUGAAGACAGGUGACUGGGCUAGUUCUGACACUGAGGCACGAAAGCGUGGGGAGCGAACGGG
rnacentral:rRNA from 1 species